rnacentral:lncRNA from 1 species
AAACUGUGCCACUAUUUGUACCAUCAUUUUCACCAAAAUCUAAAAAUGCUUUUUAUGACGUAUGGAGACAUUCUUCAUGUUUGUUUCAGUGGACACUCCUUGCAGAUGUAAAAAACUGAGAAAACUCACUUUUGGAAAGUGACCUAAAGAGUGUCAUUGAAGUGAAUUUUAAGUAGGCACGAUGAUUGUUUUCAUGGUUGCUGUUGGAUCAUAUCUCAGGAGCUGGAAUGACAGACAUUAUUGAACAAAGAAAUCAGGAUAGUGGAACUUAAAGGGCUUCAUCUCAGUGCUUUCAUAAGUAUGAAGUGCAUAUAUUUAUAAUUUUCACUAAUCACAGGGUAAAUAUAAAAUUGAUUCAUUAAAAAUGUUUCAUAAGAAUUCAAAGGACAUAGAAUUUUGUGAAAUGUAGUAUUUUUACUUAAGUGCCUUUUCUCUGCUUCUACCCCACAGCCAAUUUUUUAUAAACCAGUUGAUAACAUAAGUAGUUUUUGGGGGAUGAUACAUUACUUAUACAUUUUCUAUGUAGUAAACAUGUAUGUGUAUGUGUGUGGGUGUGUGUCUAAUUACUUUGUUGGACAGAUUCCUGUGGUUUGGAACUGCUGGGGCCAAGUUUAUACAAAAAUCUACAUUUUUGAGUAAACUCCCCAUGACUCUAGUAAGUUUCCACAGUAUUUGAGUAUUCUUUAUUUCCUAAAGCUGUACAAACAUCAGAUAAUCAAUAUUUGUAAGGAUCGAUAAUAUAAUUUAUAAUGAAAUUGCUUUAUCAGCUAUUAAUGUUAACUACAUCAUCUUCAUAUAGCCUUAUAACUCAUUUGUGCUAUUCCAUUUUCCUCUGUUCCUUUUAUUUUCACUUCCCUUGUAAUGUUAGUCUCUUUGUACUGAUUUCUGAAGAGUUCAUUUAUGAUUAAACAUGUUAACAUUUUGUCUAGAAUUGCAAAUAUGUUUUUUCUCAUUCAUUUUACUAUGGUGUUUUAUUUUUUGGUUAUACAGAAGUUGUAUAUUGAAAUAUAAUCUUGUUCUGUUUUAUGACUUUGGAGUUUUGUGGUUUUUUAAAACAUGUUUACAUUGGUAUCAUUUAUUUGUAUUGCCUUCUAUUUCAGCAGUUAGUUUGUCAUUUCUUUUUCCAUUAAUCAUCAUUCUGGUGUUAAUGAAUGCAUUAAAUAUUUAAAGUACUCACUUUGACCCGUGUAGUUAUCUGUUAAGUUCUACCAUAAAGAAAAUUUCCAGAAUAUUCCCUCUGUAUACUUGCAUUUUUUUCUAUCAAUUGACGCUUACAAUUAUUUUUGCAAGUUGGAAAAAAAUGCAGUAUUAAUUUCAUUUGCAACAAAUUUAAUAGAUUAAUUAGGAGAGAAUAGAUAUCUUUAAAAUUGAGUCUUCUGUCCAACUGCAAGGUAGGUCUUUCUAUUUUUAAUGGAAUAAUAAUUUGGGGAUAUUGCUAGUGCAGUUUUUUAAAGUAUUUUUUAAUACUAGGCAUUUUUUAGUUAUUUGUUAAUUUAGUGAUUUGGAUUAGUCAUUCAACUUGUCUAAUUGGUAUGUGAAAACUUUUUGUAUGUCUUUUCUAGUAAUCUUUACUGAAUUUCUAAAAUUAUGACUUUCUUGAACAAUCUGUCAUUUUAAUUACCUUGAUUAAAGUACAUUUGUAAGUACUUCUAGGAUAUAUGGAAGUAGAAAGUAUACUUGGCAAUUGGACUGUUAAUUGCAAUCCCCUUAGGUCAUGGUUGUUUUUGUUCUUAUUGGUAUUUUAGUAAUCUUUUAGAAGAAAGAUGUUUUACCAAAUUUGGUGACAGGUUUAAUAAAAUUUCUUUUUGUAUA